CAGCCACACCUUGAAACAAGUUGGUGAAAAAUGUAAUCCCAGUUUUGAAACGCUUCUGCAUCUGUAAGGGUAUAAAAGAGAACUUCAACAUCCAAAAAGCAACAUUACAGCCUCUUCACUUGUCUGUAAAGAAGCCAACUGAAGGUCAGAUCACUGUAACCAUGCUGAAGGUAGCACUUGUUCUCGGAUGCCUCCUGAGCCUCAUUGUGGCCAAACCUAUGGAGCACCAGCGCUUUGCCCGCUCUGACUCAUCUGAUUCUGAUUCUGACUCAGAUGAGACCACCACGACCACAACCACAGCAGCAGGUGCAACAACUGCUGCAACUGACCUGAAUGCACUGAUCGCUCAACUACUUCUAUUACUUAACCAGUAAUGAUCAAAAUCAAGACCUGCUGUAAACCAGAGUACUUUUGUUGAGUCAUCAAUUGGAGAAAUAUGACUUAUAACUUUGUUGACAUUUACAAAAAUAAACCAUCUUAAUGCAAACUCCU